rnacentral:rRNA from 1 species
AAGAGUGAAAUCAGAAUAUUAAACCUAAGUAGAUAAUUAAUGUUGAAGCUAGAAAACUUUAGAUUUAAACUAGGAUUAGAUACCCUACUAUACUAAACUUUAAUGAAAAACUUGAAUAUUAUAAGAUAUAGGCUUUAAAUUCAAAGAAUUUGGCGGUAAUUUAGUCUUUCCAGAGGAACCUGUUUUUUAAUCGAUACACCACGAAGAAUCUUACUUAUGUUUGUAUACCGUCAUUAUCAGAUAAUAUUUAAAGAUAUAAAUUAUUGAGGUUUUAAUAAAAACAAAAAUUAGAUCAAGGUGCAGCUUAUGGAUAAGUUAAAAUGGGUUACAAUUAAGUACAUAUAAGAUGAAGUAAAAUUUAUGAAGGAGGAUUUGGUUGUAAUAGGAAUUAGUAUGGUAAAAAGAUAUAAGCUCUAGAUUAUGUACAUAUCGCCCGUCGCUUUC